UAUGGCCUGAAAAGUUCUUGUUCAAUUUCAACUUGAGAUGUUAUCCUGCAUCUUACUUUUUUCUUGUUAUUACUUAUUAGGCAUUAUUGAACCGGUUUCUAUAAAAUCUCAAAGGUAGUUCCAAUGUGUUAAUUGGGCAGUGAUGUUCUUACUUUACGAGGAUUAGAAAAAUAUAAAGACAUUGUCCAUUUUUGUUGAGCAAGUUCUCCACAAGGACCCCAACCUCCUUUGCAGCCCGUUCCGUCUAUUCAAGAUUAGCGAAUGUUUCAAACAGCUGCUCUUGUAGAUUUUCUUAAAACAUAUGUAAGGUGUUUUCUGUGAAAGUAGCUUAAUCACCAAUUAUCACCAAGUUUUGUGCUGGAAUGCUUUUUUUAUAUGUUGCCCCUUAAGAAAGGGAAAUGUAACUUUUAAAAUGCAAUUUCUUCAUUCA